rnacentral:rRNA from 1 species
AUGAACGCUGGCGGCGUGCCUAAUACCUGCAAGUCGCGCGAACAGAUAAGGAGCUUGCUCCUUUGACGUUAGCGGCGGACGGGUGAGUAACACGUGGGUAACCUACCUAUAAGACUGGGAUAACUUCGGGAAACCGGAGCUAAUACCGGAUAACAUUUGGAACCGCAUGGUUCUAAAGUGAAAGAUGGUUUUGCUAUCACUUAUAGAUGGACCCGCGCCGUAUUAGCUAGUUGGUAAGGUAACGGCUUACCAAGGCAACGAUACGUAGCCGACCUGAGAGGGUGAUCGGCCACACUGGAACUGAGACACGGUCCAGACUCCUACGGGAGGCAGCAGUAGGGAAUCUUCCGCAAUGGGCGAAAGCCUGACGGAGCAACGCCGCGUGAGUGAUGAAGGGUUUCGGCUCGUAAAACUCUGUUAUUAGGGAAGAACAAAUGUGUAAGUAACUGUGCACGUCUUGACGGUACCUAAUCAGAAAGCCACGGCUAACUACGUG